rnacentral:lncRNA from 1 species
ACUUUCUUGAUCCGAGCAGUGGCAUUUUUCCUCUAGCCACAACUCACUAUUCACUAAUUCUUCCCCGUCAAGCCUACUCAAAUCUUUUCCCGAACUUCAUAAUCGUCAUGAACGGUCAGAUAGCCCAAAUUCAGGUUCCGAACAAGGUUAUCAAAAGUAACACUAUUACAAUGUCAAAUAAUUAAAAAAUAUUACUCUUUGAAGACUUUGAGUCUCCAGCAUGCAAUAGUCCACGUGGCAAUUUCUAAUCCACAAUUGCACAAAACUCUUGAAAGCAUAUGUCCAGACUUUUUAGAGAUUUGUACCACGUUCAACAAUUUCUACAAGAACCCAAUUUUUUCCUCGCUUACACUCUUCCUAUCCUUCUGGGUUUUGUGUGUGUGAAAGAGGACCGAAAUUUUAUUAAUAACUUUAUUGCUGACUUGGGAGUAUUUUAUUAUUUUUUAUUUUUUUCCCCCUUGAAUAGAAUCAUUGUGUUAAGUUCACCUCUCAUGGAUUUUGGGGUUAAAAGGUAUGUGUGUCUCCCUUUAUUGAAUUAUUUAAUGGGAUUUAUCUCUUGUUUGAAGAAUUGUGUUUAUAUAUUUAGUUUUAGUUUUCCACUUUCUCCUAUAUGAUUUGAUGAAGUUGGAGAAAUUUUUAUAUAUACGCUUAAUCACUUUAUCAUGUAUCUGAAACUUGUGAAUACAUCUUGCUGUUUGAAGUCAUAGAAAUGGUCUAGCUGGCUAGGCAAAACAAUAGAAUAAUUUGAGUAUUUUGUGCAUGUUCUUGGAAGACAUUCGAGAUAAUAGGAUUUAUAGGUUGUAUAUUAAGCUCAUAGGGUCGUGUCAUGAAAUUUUGGGAGGGGUUUUGAAGAUACAGUAAGGUGUAAUUCAAAGGUUUGCAGAAAUUAAAUUCGGCUCUAUGCUAGGAAGAUAUUUAUGAUUGUAGGAGAUUUAUGGAGAAGGAGAUGAUUUUUAUAUGAUGGGUACUGGAAAUAGAGAUAUUUCUAUUGGAUGGAUAAAGAUUAUUAAGGAUAUGUAUUGUAAGAUGUAGUGGCAAUACUAGUAGCAAAUUUCCUGGUACUAUUUGCCUGCUUUUACUUCCUUAUUGCUUUAUGUGAGAUGAGAUUGUUAUACAUACAAAAUAACGCCCCACGGUGUUUGUUAUGUGGUGACAACAUAGUUCUCGUGAUAAGAGUAUGGAAGGGGGUGAAUAGUCCUCGUAAUGAGAGUAUGGAAGGGGGUGAUUUUUGAAAUAGUACUUUGGAAGUUAAAAGUUUUAAAUUUAGUGAUCUAUUGCGUUGUACGGACACUUCAACUAGGUGAUGUGUUCGUGCAUAACGCAUGUUGGAUACUCACACUACUUAAACACUCUACUAUGAUAAUUUUUCUUUCUAUUAUAUCCAGCUCAUCAAAUGUUCCCAAAUGUCCUUUCUUUAUUAAAAACAUAUAGCCUCAUAUAAAGAAUAAUAAUUCAUCCUUUCCAUUUGGCUUUAAAUCUCUUGAAAGCUUGGAUUUGAAUUGACAACUUCAGUUGCCCUAGUUGUUAUUAAAUAAUAAUAGCAUAUAUUUUUAAAAGAUUCGGCCUUUGAAAACUCCAGAAUUUGAAAUAUUAUAUAUUUUUAAUUCAAAAUUAUUAUUAAAUAAUAAAUAAAUACUCAUAUUUAAAAGAUUUUAGCAAGAAAAAUUAAUAAAAGGUACAAAAUUAAUUUAUACCAUAUAAAUUUUAUUUUAUUUAUUUAAUUUUUUUUUUCUUUGAAAAUUAAAUCAGUGUGUCGUGUUGAUGCAUCAUAGGUGAUCUAAGAUGAAAUACAUGGAAUGUCCUUUUAAUUGGAAGAAAUGGAUAGGUGCUACGUCUAGGGGUGUCAAUGCGAGCCGGCUCGGGCUCGCCAUGAGCCGAGUUCGUGCUCAUUUUGAAACGAGCCGAGCUCUGCUCGUCCAAAAAUGGGCAGGCCGAGCCCGGCUCGCUAGCACAUGUUUUUUUUUUGUGUGGAAACAAAUAGGUAAAUUGGAAAAUACAAAAGUAAUUUUAAUUUUUAAAUUGUGAAUUUUUUAUAGAAAAAAUUUAUAUAUAUAAAAAACUAGGUAAAAAAUUUAAACUCUCCUCUUUUAUCCGGGCUUGGGACCGGUUACUUAAAUUUAGAGUAGGAGGAGUUAAAAAUUGUGUUGUUUGUUUGUUUGUUCGUGUACAAUUUUUUAAAGAAAAUUUAAAACAGUAUUAAAAAUUAUUUUUUCAAGCAACACUGCGCGUCCGCUUGCAUAUAUUCUUUGAAAUAAAUCCCUUCUAAAAAUUGAAAGGGUAAUCGAAUGCCCUUUCAAUUGUCAGAAGUCUUCACUUCAAAAAUUAUAUAGAAGUCUUUCACUUCAAAAGUUAUAUAUAAUCUUCGAAGUGAAAAACUUCUGACAAUUGAAAGGGCAAUUAUUCGAUUACCCUUUUAAUUUUCAAAAAGAAUUUACUUCGAAAAUUAUAUGCAAAGGUACGCACAGCGUUGUUCGAGAAAAGAAUUUAAAAUGUAGACAUAUAGUAUUAAUAGUACUAAGUACUAACAAAAAUUUAACUUAAUUGGUGGAAAGAAUUUUUUUUUUUUUUUUUAACUAAAAGAGAAAAAAAAUAAAAAUGAAAUCUUUAUUUUUUUUAUUUUUCUUUUUAAAAUAGAUAAAAUAUAAACCCUCCUCUUUUAUCCGGGUUUGGGACCGGUUACUUAAAUUUUCAGUAGGUUGAGUUAAAAAUUGUACACGAACAAUUUAUUGUAGCGUGUACAAUUUUUUAAAGAAAAUUAAAAGUAACGAUAAGAAAAGAAAAGUUUCAUUAAUAUAAUUAAAUCAAAUAUCGCUUACUUGACGACAUAUAAUUUCGACAUAUUUAUCUUGUAGUUAAAAAUGAGCGUCUUGCCAAUCCUUAACGCACAUUAACGCUUCUAAAAUAUCUUUUUUCAGUCAGCUCCUAACUUUGCUCAAAACUCUUUUACCUGCACUAAAUGCAAACUUCGAAGCAACAGUGCUAAUUGGAGGUGUCAGCAGAUCUUUUGCAAUCGCAAAUAUAAUUGGCCUACGUUGUUCAUACCUUGGCCAGAAUUCAAUUACUUCGUCUGAACUUUUUUAAUUGUUUUAUUUGUUGGCAUAUUCUGGUUGAAAUAAUCAAUUAAUUUAGCAGGCAAUGAAUUAUGGCUUGAGCCCGAAGAUGUUUGAUGAGAAUGAGAUACAGAUGGUGACGACAUGGCAGUGGCAGUAGAUGAACACAUUGUAGAUAAACCAUAUCUAUACGAAUUAAUGUCUUGAAAUAAAUUGAAUAUUUUCGCAUCUUUUUCAAUAUCAACGGAAGGAACAGAUGCAAAUGGUACCUAACUAAUAUUGGUACCCAUUCGGUUCGCAUAUAAUUCAUACAUUUCACAUAAUGUUUGCUCUAAAUUUCUAUAUGUGAUAGGUGUAUCAAAUGUUAAGAAGUUUGAAAUUUGAUCAAUUAUAUAUUUAGUUCCCGAUAAAUUAUAUUGGGGGUCCAUCACGCAUGCUAAAGAAAAUAACAUACGCAAGUCUUCCCAAUAUUUUCUAAAUUUUAAUUCCAUAGCAAUUAUAAUUUCACUAAAAUCAGGGUCAUUUUUGUAUUUAUUAAAUGUUCUUACAAUUAUAUAAAGACGUUCAAGCACCAUAUAGCUGGUGAGAUAGUAAACGCUUGAUAAAAUUUUAGUGAUUUCAUAAAAAGAUGCCAAAAAUAUUUUAAUUUUUAAAGCUAUUUGCCAAUCAUGUUCAGUCAACAUACCCUCGUCAUCACUUCUAACAUGUCUAUUGUUAUAAAAGUCAGUUAUUAAAUGUUCAAAACCUUCACAUGACUUUAAUAACAAGUAGAGUUCCACUUAUGACCUACGUCGCUACCAAAUGUUUUAGCAUUUUGCACUCCUAUUUCGGCACAAUAAUCCUCAAAUGCUUGUUUUCUACUUGGGGAGAUUGUGAUAUAUAUUAGUUCAUUUCUAAUAUUUUAAAGUUCAUCCUUUAUAUGUUUUAAAUCAUUUUGGACAAUUAAAUUUAAAAUAUGACAUACACAACGAAUAUGAAACAAAUACCCACCAAAAUUAGGUUGCAGUACCCUAUGCAAUUUAUCGGCAACUACUUUAUUAACAUUAGCAUUAUCGAAAGUAAAUGAACGAAUUUUGCUUACGCAAUGAUAUUUUCUAACAAUACUAAUAAUAGCAUUAAAUAUAUUAUUAGCAUUAUGAGAAAACUUAAUAAUUCUAAAAGCAAUAAUUUUUUUAUGCAUGCACCAAAGUGGAUCUAUAUAAUGUUCAGUUGCAGUUAUAUAUGCUCUUUUAUUAAUCUCUUCCCAUAUAUCCGAAGUUAAAGAUAUGACACCCCUCAUAUUUUUGCAAAUCCAUAAUUAAUUAUUAUUUUGUUUCAGUAAAAUAUUAUAUUGUAUCGGAACGAAGAGUGUUUCGACUUACCUCAACGUACCUUGACUGCAGAUAUUCUUUCACAUACCAGACGUAGUGUUGGUUGUCAAUUAAUACCAAAGGCAACUCAGCACCAGCAACAAGCUUUACCAUUCUGGUUCAAGCUCUCUCCUCCGAAUACACCCAUGUGGAUAGGAGUGCAGCAGAACCACCGGCGUAUGGACUGCCAAAUUGCAAUUGUGUUUGACAACCUGGAAUAAGUCCGUGUUUGGCCGCACAUACUUUUUAAUGGCGGUUGAGAUGGUGGUACCAAUUCCUCUUUGCCAUGCCAAUCUUUGUUGGUAGUAUUUACAAACUGCUUUGGAUUCUAGGACUCCAUUGAAGAUUUUUUUCGUUGAAAUCAACUUAAAAUGAUCCCAACAUUUUGCUUGUUUUUUCCCUUUCGCUUUCCCCUCGCAUCAGGAAUGUUUAAUUCAGCAUCUUCUUCCUGAUCGUGUUCCGCUUCGGGAAUGUCAACAUCAUCCAAAUUAAUUGGAUAAUUUGGAUUGUCGCUUACAUGAUGAUGAAGAUCCAAAUUUGGAAUAUCUUCAAGUAGGGGUACGUUAUUUAGACCUUCAAAUUGAUUUCGAAAUUGACUUUGCGGUGUCAUAGGCGAUUCGUUUCCUCCCACACCGAACAAGUUUUCGACAAAUGUGCG